rnacentral:rRNA from 1 species
CAGUAGCCGCGGGAAUACGAAGGGGGCUAGCGUUGUUCGGAAUUACUGGUCGUAAAGCGCACGUAGGCGGACAUUUAAGUCAGGGGUGAAAUCCCGGGGCUCAACCCCGGAACUGCCUUUGAUACUGGGUGUCUAGAGUAUGGAAGAGGUGAGUGGAAUUCCGAGUGUAGAGGUGAAAUUCGUAGAUAUUCGGAGGAACACCAGUGGCGAAGGCGGCUCACUGGUCCAUUACUGACGCUGAGGUGCGAAAGCGUGGGGAGCAAACAGGAUUAGAUACCCAGUAGUCCCUGUCUCUUAUACA